GGCGAUUGGAAGGUGGCUUUUUUUGCCGUCCCCUGAAAGUGCCGCCCAAGUAAAAAUUCCUUGUCAGCAUCACACUAAAUACAGCGCUGCAUACAACACUAUAUUUGCAUAUAUACACCCACAAGACUUGUCAUCUUGGAGAUGCUCUGACCCAGUCAUCUAGUAUUCACUUAAGUGAAACAAAGUGGCCAUAAUGUUGUGGCUGAU